CUCAGGAACCUGUAUCCGAGCCCGAGGCCCAGAGCCGCGGCUCCGACCCCGAGCACCAGAGCCGCGGCUCGAUCCUGGACCAGAGACUUCACGUCCAUGUUUGGUGUCCCUGCGACUUCCGGAGUGUGGACUAGUGGCAGUAACAGGACUAUGGGCAGAGAAGGUCUCUGGUUCGACUCCAUGGAGAAACAACAAAAAGACGAACCUGGAUUGAUCUGCCCAAAAAUCCAAGAGGAUUCUCCCUGCCCUGUCUAGUGCCCCUGAGCAAGGCACCUUACUCCCCCAACAUCUGCUCCCCGGGCGCCGUACAUGGUCGCUCACUGCUCUGUGUGUCCUGAACCAGAUGGGUCAAAAGCAGAGGUUACAUUUCCCUACCUGGGACAAAUAAAUGUAUUUUAAUCUUAA